rnacentral:misc_RNA from 1 species
CGUCACCACUGCCACAGCGUGCUUUCCUCCCUUUUCGGGGCGCGCAUACAUGUCGUUUCCGCCCCCCCCCCAUCCCCCAUCCUCGCCUAAAAAUCCACAGCCGCAUCCGCAUCGACAUGCGCGAGAACUCGCGCUGAGCACGCAAGAGGCAAGCAGCGCCCUCACCCCCUCCUCCCCACCAAACACGCAAAGAAAUGAACAGCGACAACAUGCGGGCCUCAUUCCGAACCCCUCUUAAAAGCGUGUCUGACCCGGUAUGGUGCCCGCCAUGAAGUUGGACAGUCUGUGCAGGAUAUCGGCGGCGUGCCAGAACGCCCUCUCCUACACGCCGCCGUCCCCCUCGUAUUGAGGACACAAGAACUGGCUUGCCCUCAUCAUUCUCAGUGCUCAUAAUGCUCCUCGUGGUAGUGUGCAUCGCCUUUCCGUGUGUGAUGAAACGGCUGCAAUCACCACUGCCACGGGUGCGAUGUGCUUGCCAAGCGGGGGGACGGCAUGUUGCGCGUGAUGCGCAUUUCCUACCGAGUGCCGUCGGACAAGAAAGCCAAGGUCUCCGCGAGGAUGGCGCGUCUGCAGUGCAAGCAGCACCGCCCACGCUCCAGUUACGCAGAGUCGUUCGGCGACGGCGUAUCCAGCUCGAAGGAGAGCGGCGACAGCCUCCCGCGAGCUCGACAUAGAACCGUCGCCAGACAAGUACACGGAGCCGGAGGUAUGCUUGCAGCAGCUGCGGAUGUACUGCAUGGGCAAUAUGGACCUGCCAAACCGAUGGAAGAACACAGGGAGCCGCAUGCGCUUUGGGGCUCCAUCAAGCCGAUCAACAACACCGUACACGGGUGCGCUACAUGGUGCGGCCGUGAGUGUGCUGAGGCGGUACACGCCUUUGCGUAGGUGGAUGCUUCGAUGGCCAGCGCGUCUGCGCUACAGGAGAUGUCGCCGUGUCUCUCUCUCACACACAGCAUCGUCUUCCCUGUGCUGUUGGCAAGUGUCUGAGAAGCAACCCGCCCGUUGGUUCAUGGUCCUUAUCUAUUUUGCGUGCGGGCGUGCUCUUGACGGACGAGGAAGGCGGACUCCCCACGCGUCUCCACAAUUUUUCCCGCCGUAGCUUCGUUCCUGCACCCCCUCCUCCCUCUCCACCCCCACCCCUUCGUUUAUUCUCACGCAUGGUUGCUCUCGAGGCCAUCGAGAGGAUGGGGGGAUGGCCGUGGUGUGGAAAAGAGGAGAGGGAGGGGGAAGGCCAACCGAGCCGCCGACGUGCACGACGAGGAGGAAGGGGGGGGAAGAAGGGGCGGUAGAGCGUUGAGAGAGGUUUUCGGACAGGCGUGUGCGUGUGUGCAUCUUUUCCUUUGACUGCAGGGAAGUGGUCGAGUGAGUGGAGUGGGGUCGCUGUGCUGCGUCUCUGUCUGUGGACGCCUUUUCCGUGUUCCUUCGCUUGCUCGCGCACAUGCCGCCUCGCAUGGGAGAGGGUGUGCGUGUGUGUCUGUGUUUGUGUCUGUGUCUCUCUCACGUAGGGGUGCCUUGGCUUCUCUUUGCUCACCACCACCACCGCGCGCCCACCCAUCCCUCCGCUCCACGCAUAUCUCCUCAUUCUGCCCUUCCACCGUAUGCUGUGUCUGCAUGUCUCUCUCGCCAACGCAACUUGUGUGCUACUGGAUAUAGAUGUUGCUACUCCCGCUGCUGAAGUGAACUCGAGACCUCAUCUGCCAUAUAGCCCGCGC